rnacentral:rRNA from 1 species
AUUGAACGCUGGCGGCAGGCCUAACACAUGCAAGUCGAGCGGAUGAAGGGGGCUUGCUCCUGGAUUCAGCGGCGGACGGGUGAGUAAUGCCUAGGAAUCUGCCUUGUAGUGGGGGAUAACGUCCGUACACGGGCGCUAAUACCGCAUACGUCCUGAGGGAGAAAGUGGUGGAUCUUCAGUGCUCACGCUAUCAGAUGAGCCUAGGUCGGAUUAGCUAGUUGGUUGGGUAAGGGCCUACCAAGGCGACGAUCCGUAACUGGUCUGAGAGGAUGAUCAGGCACACUGGAACUGAGACACGGUCCAGACUCCUACGGGAGGCAGCAGUAGGGAAUAUUCGACAAUGGGCGAAAGCCUGAUCCAGCAAUGCCGCGUGUGUGAAGAAGGUCUUCGGAUUGUAAAGCACUGUAAGUUGGGAGGAACGGCAGUAAGUUUAUACCUUGCUGUCUUGACGGUACCAACAGAAUAAGCACCGGCUAACUUCGUG